CGGGCCAGGUGCUCUCAGGGCGACCGAGGCCCCUCCUCCGGGGGCGUCCCCUUGCCGGGUGUACCGCGCCCUCAGGGGCUCCGCUGCGGGGGACCCCUGCGAGUCGCCCCUCUAACUCGCCCUGACACGCGGGUGCAAGCAAGCCCACCUGCCGCCCGUACCGACACUAUCCCAACGUGUACGGGGUUGGGAAGUUCUCUCGCCCGACUCCCCAUCCAAGCCAGCAGGGACUGACGCCCACCUGCACCCCAGCACUUGCCCCUCUACCUUCCCCAGCCCCUCCCCUAGGAGGCUCCCCCUAAGGCAGAGGCCAGGUAAGGACGGCCGGCCCGGUAAGCAAAGCCCCUCUCCCUCCGCUCCUCUUCAGAGGGCACCUCAUUCCCCCGAUUCCCGACCCCCAAAAGGUUGCAUAUUUCCUUUCCGCGGACGAACUCCUCUCCUCGGGGGUUCUGGAGGAUACCGGGGCUAAUCCUUCCCCUCGGGUCCGGUCCCAGUACGACCCAUCCCCGCCUCCCGGCGCCACGCCAAGCAGGGUAAGGGGACCUGCCCCGCGACGCCACCCUGCCCGGCCGGGCUCCGCAGGGGGUCCCCAUGGCAGAGCCCUCAUCCCCCGCCCACGGCCUCGGCGCCACGGGACCGAAAGUGCCUGGGGCGGCGGGACCUCACCUGCCGCGGGGCUGGUGUGGGCGAGCCGCCGCGGUCACGCCGCGGGUCGGUCCGGCGGACGGCGGCCCAGAGCGCCUGGCUCUCGAAUCUCCGGCGCCGAUUGACGCGCUACGUUUACUUGGGCAGUUUAAUUAACCCCCGCACUGCCGGCCGGGCGCGGCUAACCGCCCGCCAGUGGGCCGGUGCUGUCCGUCGGGGGGCGCUCGGCGCGGCUCGUCCGCGCGGGGUGCUCUGGGUUGGGGCGGCUGCCGCGAAGAAGCGACGCUGCGGGCCCAGCGGCUGCAGAGGGCCCCGAGGGGAACCCAGAUGUCCCCCAACAUUCCUCUUGAGACCUCGCCCGACCCUCCAAGCUAUCCGGACCAGAGACAGACAGAUCUGGAUGCCUGGCCCAGAGAGGGACGGGCCCAUGCCGCGGCCACACAGCAGCUGGGACGCCACUUUACUCCACUUCCAUCCUCACCUGGACGCUGCAGUGUCCCUAUGCUAGUUACCCCGCUGUGGACCCUCUAAGUGCUCCUUCCUCCCUUUUCCCACCCAGCUCGGCCUUUGUCAGCCAUCUUGAGGGGAAAGGAAAGAGGCAAUCAAGUAAGGGCUGCCUGGGUUCCCAGGGCCCGCCAGCAUCCCCCAGCUGCAGCAGAGGUCCCUUGGUUAGCAAAUCUCUGCUGCCUCUACCAUUCGGUGGGCAAUGAACUAUAGAAGCGCAAAUUGGCACCUAAUAUUUAUCGUAACUGGUCUUUUUGUUUGUUUGCUUGUUUGUCAGUUAAUCUGUCUCCACACAUCCGACAGUAUAGGGUCACAGCAGAUGCUCAAUAAAUAUGUCAUAAAUGAAUGAAUAGGGC
rnacentral:lncRNA from 1 species